AUCUCUGUAGCACAGUGGAUAGUGCUUUGGACUUUUAAUCCAAAGGACCGUGGGCUCGAACCCCACCUAAGAUG